AGUACUAAAUAGANNNCCCAACANUAGUUGAUUACANUGAACAAGUUACUGUAGGGAUAACAGCGUAAUAUAUAUCUAAAGUUCUUAUUUUGAUAUAAGUUUGCGACCUCGAUGUUGAAUUNAUAUUACUUUCAAGCGCAAGAGCCUGAAAAGUGGGUCUGUUCGACCCCUAAAUAUAUACAUGAUUUGAGUUCAAAUCGGUGUAAACCAGAUUGGUUUCUAUCUAUUNUUAUUUGUGUCUUAGUACGAAAGGACCUGAAACAAUAUUAUAUAAUNAUUUAUAUGGCAGAAAAAUGCUUUAGAUUUAGGAUCUAAUUAUAAUAGAUUAUUAUACUCUAUUUAACUUGCCUAAUCUCUGUUA
rnacentral:rRNA from 1 species